CCACCAGCUCGAUAUCUUUACUCGUUUACAUGAGAUAGCAGUUAACACAUAUUCACUUUGUAACGGUUGUAUUAGUUAUACUGUACACAAUAUAAUGUGGACGUCUAUAUACACGGCCGCAUCUCAUGUCACCUUGAUCUGAAUUGGUCCAUUUACCCCUGCUCUCUCCAGCCUUCCUCAUAUAGCGCCUGCUUGUGAGCUCACCGAAUCAAGUCACGGUGUGACAGUUUCCCAACUGUAGCCCUUUUAAAUUGUUUCAUAAAAACUUGUGACCUUCUCCUCAGUUUCCCCUUCUUUCUAUAGUGUACACUUUAAAAAGAAAAUCCCUUGUCCGUGAUAUCGGAUGAAGGGUUGGUAUCAGGUUUGACUGGUUUGUGCUGAGUCUUCUCCGAGCCCCAGCGCAUCGACAUAUUCCGGUGGCUCUUUCUCCUUCACGUGUCCGCCUCGCUCACCGUCAAAUGCCUCUACACGAUUCAGCCCCAACUACAGCCGAGAGGAGCGGGUUCCACAUUCUCGCCACACUCUGGUACGAGCCGGGAACUAGGCCAAGUAGCAUCUGUACAGAAAUCAAACUGUUUCCAGCUCAAAAUCCCUUUGCACCGAGAGUAGGACAGCAAUGAUAUCGCCCACUACUUAGAAUCCAGGCGAUUACUCCCGGAUUAAUAAAGACAUCGACAGCAUCACAAGUGGACUGCGAAAUAAAAUCUCACACUUAAGAGAUAUCAACGUGACGACAAGAUAAAACUUCAUUGCAAUCUCAUCAAGUAUUGAUACAGGUGACUGGAAAAGGAAACCUACACAAAUCACCUCUCGGUGGGAACAAAAAUAUUCUGUACAAAAAGUGCAAACAAAAAAGGUGGUUGCAACACCGUUUCCAUAAGAUAUGGGAGAUGCUCCUUGUGUCUUUUGAGGAAAAAUGUGGGCCAAUCCCUGUUCAGAAAAAUGCAUCAUGGUCAGCUCCAUUAAGAACCGUUUAAUGGGAGGGCUUAGAAAUGAUGCUGAAGUACCUGAAUUCUAUUUGUA